UCUAUUCUUGCUAAGUUUAGUUGAAUAUUUGCAUGAAAAUCAUAUAAUGAAUCAUUUACUAGUCAUUGUGUUUAUUUUGCAGAAAAGUGCGACAAGGCACGAAAUCCUUCUACUACAAAUGAUCAAGUGAUGGACCCGAGCGAGAAGAAAGAAGUUACCAGGGGCAAGCUAAAGAAGUGGGAGGAUCUUCUUGUGAAGAAAGAAGAAGAGGAAGAGGGCUAAUGUGCAAAAGUGGCAGAUCAGAUGGGGAACAAAAUCCCUAGCGGCUCCCUUCGAUCUCUUCGGGCCUGGACAUCUCUCUCUCUCCCCCGCCUCCUUCUCCACCUCGGCCGCCGCCGCGGCCAGGCCGGCGUGGCGGCGCGCCACCGCGCGACUCCCCUUACCUCUGCUGCAGCUCUUCUUCCCCAUCGCCAACCUGCGGCUGCUUCUUCUUCCCACGCCCCUGCUGCUGCUUGCUCUCUCAAUCUCUGCUACUACUUCUCCUUCCCUCCGCUGCUUGCUGCUUCUCCUUCUUCUUCAACCUGCUGCUGCUCGCCCUCAACCUCCCUCUGCUGCAGCUCUUCUCUAAGCCCUCAUGCCCCUGCUGCUCUUCACUAACUCCACGUUCUUGCUGCUCCUCUUCUCCUAAUCUUGUUGUUGCUCUUCCUGAACCCCUGCUGCUGCUCCUUCUCUCCUCCACCUCUUGCUGCUGCUUCUCUCUGAACCGAACUGCUGCUGCUCCCUCUCCCACGAACCUGCUGCUGCUCCUCUCUCCCUGAUGCCCCUACUUCUUCUCUGAAUUCCAAACUGUUGUUGUUCUUUGUCUCUCCCCCUCUCUGUGUGUGAGUGAGUGUGUGCGUGUGCGUGCGUGUGUGUGUGUAUGUGUGUGUAAUUUCUGUGAACAAUUAGAGUGGAGACUUGAUAGAUUGUACUCUGUUUUACACUAUUUCAAUAUAUGUGAAUCGCCCGUUCGUUAUUUGUCUGUUACAUUCAGGUUACUAGUUGCGAAUCUUGUGUUGUAAUUGUUCAUUGUGAAGUCAGAUGUAUGAACAUGUUUGAUUCUUUGUCCCUGUGAUAGGUUCCAGUAUAUGCGUUUCUUUUAUGUUGUCUCAAUUUCUUGUGAUAUACAUGAUAGUGAUAUGAACCAUUUCUGUUCCUGUCUUACAAUCUUGCAUUAGACCUUUUCUUACUUUCUAGCUUUUAUAUUAUAUUUGAAGUCUGCUUGUGUUAGCAUUUUUAUUUCUCAAGUAAAACAGAAAACACCUAAAAUAUAGUGAAGACAAUCUUGUUCUCUUUUGCUUGUUCGCAUUCUCUUAGUCGGCGAUCUUCAGGAAUAACCUUGUUAGUUUAGGUUUUAUUUUCCGCUUUCAUCACCCAAUAUCGUGUUACCUAGCUUUAGCCGAAUAUAGUUGCUGUCGCCUAGUCCCUGUGGAGAACACGACACUCACAGAAUGGGGCGUUAAAACCCCAUUGUACCUACAACUGAUCAUUUUGGCGUCGUUGCCGGGGACUAGCGUCGUGCGACCGUGUUAGGCUAUAGACUAGGUUUUGCUUCUGUUUCUAUCUGGUGCCAUAUAUUUGUGAUAUAUCUCUUACCCCUAACCACUGUUCUAGUUAUCUUCUCUUUCUUUUCUUGUUCAUUUUGUAGGUUGAAUUGUCUUCUUGGAAAUGGCAUUCUACUGAGAUCAUCAUGCUUAUGCGAGCAACACUCCAAACAGCACGGAAAGUAUUCAAGAACUGAUAAGUAAGAUUUCCCAUCGAUUAGAUGAUUUAGCUCGGCAGCGAGAAGUAGUUUUUGAGGAUAGGCCUAGCUCUUAUGAUCCUUAUUCUAGAGGCCAUCCUUAUGUUGCUCCUACCUGCCAUAUUUGUGGAUUUCAGGGCCAUUCGCCCACUGAAUGUCAGAGUGGUUAGUCUCACCCUCCAGAUUGUUUUGGUAUGAACUUUGCUCAACAGCAUGGCUCAUGCCAAAACAAUUACUCAUAUGGGUGGCUGAAAACCAGAGUAUGUCAUAUAGGAGCAACAACCUUGAGAUCUCAUCGUUUGCUUCUAGUAAUCAUAUGCAGGGAAUUAAGUACAAUGAGGAGAGCCACAACUAUGUACCACCACAAUUUUAUUCACCUCCUACUCAUAUACCUCAACACCAGGAGAUGUUGCCAAUGGAGUUAAAUGGUCCUCCAUUUGGUCAACCAACACCUUCAACACAAGUGCCUACUCAAGAUGAGUUCGAUGACAUAGAAAAAGCUCGCACUUUUGAGUCUCGAGUUCACUUGGAGUGCCGAGGAUGAUCCUAUUAGGCCGGUGAUACUAGAUGAAAUGAAGAAGAUCAAGAGUGGGAAUGAGCUAGUGGAAGAAGUAAGGAAGAUUGAGAAGAACAUCAACGCUGGCAGCACUAUCUCUUCACAGCUAGAGCUGAGAAUUUCUGGGAUAUCCCUUGAUACAUGUGAGGUUCCAACACCUUCACAUUCAGCUGAGCAAGAUAGCGAGAGUCCAGAGGAAGAGAUACUUCAGAUCCAAGAAGAAAUUCUCGAAGCCAAGGCACAAGAUGAUCCAGAGCUCGAAUACACAAAUGAACAAGUUGAAGAUCCAAUGUCUAUCUCUUCCGAAGAAGUAGAAGAAGCUGCUGUAGAUGAAGAACCUGAGAUUCAUUUGCCUAUUGUCAUACAAGAGUGUGAUGUGUCAGGUUCAUCCAAUCCUCUUAAUGACAUGUCUCAUUAUGUUUUGUUUGAUUCUGUUAGACCUUUCAGUCUGAGCAUUUCAUAGUUGUGGAUGACACUAGGAGAGUUGGGACAAUUUUCGUUGGUUUAUUUCUCACACAAUGCCAUUCCAACCUGAGGGGUUGGGGAUACAUACUUAUAGGCUGCUAGCCAGCCAAGCAUAUGCUAAGAUGCUAGUCUAAGAUGCUGCUAAGAUGCCAGUCUAAGAUGCUAGUCUAAGAUGCUAUCCUAACUGCCAGUCCUUGAUGGCCAGGGAUUCUAUCCUAACUGCCACAAGGACCAUGUGCUGCAGCCAAAGGACCAUGUGCUGCAGCCCCACAAAGACCUUAGUACAUAGACUUAUCCAUCAUCCUCCCCCUAAGUCUUGUACGUCGUUUUGUGGGAGGGUUGAAUCAUCCCGAUCCUGGAGCAGAGUGCGAGGAACUUGAUCCUCCCAAGAGGCUUGGUGAGCAGGUCUGCGAGCUGGUCCGUGGUGUUGAUGUAGCUCGCCUCGAUGCUCCCUUCUUCCACACAGCUGCGAAUGAAGUGGUACCUCAGUCGGAUGUGCUUGCCCCGUUCGUGGAAAACGGGGUUCUUUGCCAGGGCCAGGGCGGACUUGCUGUCCACCAGGAGCUGCACCGUUCUGGUGUCUUGAACAAGAUCACCAAGCAGUCGAGCGAGCCAGAGUGCCUGAGUGCAGGCGGUGGAGGCCGCUAUGUACUCAGCCUCACAGCUGGACAGGGCCACCACCUGCUGCUUGACUGAUUGCCAGCUCACGAGAUACUUGCCGAGGAAGAAGAGGAUCCCGCUCGUGCUCUUGCUGGUGUCGAUGUCGAUGAGCCCGGGGUGGUGACUGCCGGGGCUGGAGUGUGCGGCGUCGCCGGUUGUGGUGCCGUCGGCGUAGCAGGCACCGGAGUCGAUGUGGUUUUGGGGGCCGGGGUAGGCGUGCCCGGCGACGAGGAGCUGGUUGCUCCCCCGGCUUCUUUGAAGUGGACGUACUCGACAAUGAAGUCGUCGUAUGUCGGCGUCGAGCCGUCGUCCACCGCCUUGUCCCAUUGCCACCCUCGCCCUUCGUUGAACACGACGUCUCGCGCCGUGCGCACACGCUGUGUCUUUGGGUUGAGGAUGCGGUAGGCCUUUGAGCCCUCCGCGUAGCCGAUGAAGACUCCCGGAGUGCUCCUGUCGUCGAGCUUGCCGAUGUGACCGAGCUCCUUGGCGAACGCAAGGCAGCCAAAGACCCGCAAGUGGGAGACCGCCGGCUUCCGCCCAUGCCAGGCCUCGUACGGUGUCCUGCCGUCGAGUGCCUUGGUAGGCGAGCGGUUUAGGAUGUAGACGGCUGUUAGCACCGCCUCUCCCCAGAAGACAGCCGGCAUCCCUCUCUACUUGAGGAGAGCUCGAGCCAUCCCCACAACCGUCUGGUUGCGCCGCUCGACGACGCCGUUUUGCUGCGGGCUGUACGGCGCGGAGUAGUGGCGCUGGAUGCCCUCAUCGGCGCAGUACGACGCGAAUUCAGCCGCCGUGAAUUCGCCGCCGUUGUCAGUGCGCAACACGCGCAAUUUGCGGCCGCUCUCCGCCUCCACACCAACCUGCGCGCGCCUGAUGGCGUCCGCCGCCUCUCCCUUACUGCCGAGGAUCAUCACCCACAUGUAACGGGAGAGAUCGUCGACGGGCAGCAGGAAGUAGCGUCGACCUCCUGGUGUGGCUGGCGUCACCGGGCCGCACAGGUCUCCGUGCACGAGCUCCAGCCUCUCCUUGGCCCGAAAACUCGCCUGUUGGGGAAAGGGGAGUCGUCUUUGCUUCGUCAUCACGCAGAUGUCGCAGAACUGCUCCACAUGGUCGAGGCAUGGCAGGCCUCGCACCAUCUCCUUGGCACUUAGACGCUUCAGGGCCUCAAAAUGAAGGUGCCCAAAGCGCUCAUGCCAUUGCCACGCCUCGUCGUCCCGACGGACAGCGAGACAGACCGGUUGUGCCACCUGCACAUCAAGGACGUAAACUCGAUUUCCACCUCUGGGUACCUUGGCGAGAAGGCGACCCUGGCGAUCCCAGAUGCGUAGGACCCCAUGCUCAAUCAGCACGCGUGAGCCGUUCUCAUCCAGCUGUCCCAAGCUGAUGAUGGAGUUCCUUAGCGCGGGGAUGUAGUAGACACCGGUGAGCAGCCGGUGCUCUCCCGCCUUGGUGGUGAAGAUGACGGAGCCGACGCCCUUAAUUUCCACAGCGGAGGCAUCCCCAAACUUGACGGAGCCUCGCGCAUCGGAGUCGAGCUCGGCGAAGAAUUCCCUUCGACCGGUCAUGUGGUGGGUGGCGCCGGUGUCGAGGCACCACCCCGUAGUCUUGUCCUUCCCGGAGCCAUCGCCGAGAAGAGCGUGCGCUUUUGGCUCGUCGAGGUGGACGAGAGCUUUUGCGACUGGUGUCGCUGAGGAUAGCUCAAUGCUUGCAUGCGCCAUGAACAGAGCCGUCUCUUCCUCCUUCGCCUGUGCGACGUGAGCCUGGCCUUGUCGUGGUUGCCGACACAUUGGCCCAAUGGCCAAACCGGCCAUAGUUGUGGCAACUGUUGUCUUGUGCCGGCUUGGGCUUGCCAGCGGCGCCGUCCUUGGCGCCUCCGCGGNNNNNNNNNNNNNNNNNNNNNNNNNNNNNNNNNNNNNNNNNNNNNNNNNNNNNNNNNNNNNNNNNNNNNNNNNNNNNNNNNNNNNNNNNNNNNNNNNNNNNNNNNNNNNNNNNNNNNNNNNNNNNNNNNNNNNNNNNNNNNNNNNNNNNNNNNNNNNNNNNNNNNNNNNNNNNNNNNNNNNNNNNNNNNNNNNNNNNNNNNNNNNNNNNNNNNNNNNNNNNNNNNNNNNNNNNNNNNNNNNNNNNNNNNNNNNNNNNNNNNNNNNNNNNNNNNNNNNNNNNNNNNNNNNNNNNNNNNNNNNNNNNNNNNNNNNNNNNCGCGUCUUAUGCUGCUUGCCACGCUUGCGGCCGCCCGUCGUGGAAGAAGGCUCCCCCUUCUUCCUGUCACCAAGGCUGGGAUCCCACUGCUCCCGAGUUAGGAGCAGCUUCCCGCCGGUGGUGAUGGGCCCCGAGGGAGGCUGUGGUUCAUCGGUGUCGACGACCUUGAGACGGCCUAUCGCCUCCUCGAUCGUCAUCGUGGAGAGGUCCAGCGACGACUCGAUCGAGCGAGCCAUCUGCUUGUACUUCUCGGGAAUGCACCGAAAAAGCUUCUCGACAGCUCUCUCCUCGGUGUAGGUGGCAUCGCCAAACUUCACCAUCUUGUGCAGCAGAGUGUUGAGACGGAGAGCAAAGUCAUCAACGUCCUCACCUGGCUUGAAAGCCAGGCUCUCCCACUCCUUACGAAGUGCCUGCAGAGUGGACUUGCGAGCACGGUCACUGCCGAUGCGUGCUGCGGCGAUGGCGUCCCAAGCCUCCUUGGCAGUCCGCUUGUUGGAAAGCGAGAACUGCAUCUCGGGCGGGACUGUGGCGAUGAGGGCGUCCAGCGCCCGUCGAUCCUCUAGGUGGUCGACGUUGCUGUCCUGGACUGCCUCCCACAUGCGCCGCACCUGGAGCCUGACCUUCAUGAUCCCGGCCCACUCGACGUAGUUGGUUUUAGUGAGGGUAGGCCACCCAACACUGGGACCAACAUCCCUGACCACAGUCCGGACCUCGUGGAGGCCGCGGUCCUGGUCGUUGCAGCCGCCGUCGCGGUGCGCGCCUCCACCUGGAGCGCGGGCGUGCUCGGCUGCCCACUGCGCUGUCCGCUCCUGCGCCACUUUGGCGCGAUCUGCGUCGGCGCCGUCAUCCGCAGGCGCGGAGCUGCUGGAGCUGCCGGGGCCGCCGCGGAGUGGCUUGGCAUCCGCCGUAGCCUCACGGGCUGCUUCUGCUGCUGCUGCUGCUGCUUCUACCUCCGCCCUGGCUGCUUCUACCUCCGCUCUGGCUGCUGCCAGCUCCUCUGCAGCCAGCCUCGACACCCUUGCCGCCGCAGCAGCUGCUGCUACAGCCGCUCGCUCACGCUCCUCUGCCACGGCGCGCUCGGCCUCCUGCUGGCGCCGCAUGCUCGAGGUAGCCGUGUGCUGAGAGCGACCUGCAGACAUGGCUCGCUGCAGGGGGGCUGUUGCGUGAAGAAGAGGCUGUUGUUGCCGAGCCGCUGCUCGACAGUCCAGAGGGAGGGAGGUAACCAGAGGCAGACGGAGCAACUGCUGCUACCGACUUGGGUUGCUCAGCUCCCGGUGAGGGAGGUAAGCAGGAAAUGCUCAGGGUACAAGAUAACCUGGCUCUGAUACCACUUGUUAGACCUUUCAGUCUGAGCAUUUCAUAGUUGUGGAUGACACUAGGAGAGUUGGGACAAUUUUCGUUGGUUUAUUUCUCACACAAUGCCAUGCCAACCUGAGGGGUUGGGGAUACAUACUUAUAGGCUGCUAGCCAGCCAAGCAUAUGCUAAGAUGCUAGUCUAAGAUGCUGCUAAGAUGCCAGUCUAAGAUGCUAGUCUAAGAUGCUGCUAAGAUGCCAGUCUAAGAUGCUAGUCUAAGAUGCUAUCCUAACUGCCAGUCCUUGAUGGCCAGGGAUUCUAUCCUAACUGCCACAAGGACCAUGUGCUGCAGCCCCACAAAGACCUUAGUACAUAGACUUAUCCAUCAGAUUCUACCUUGUUUUACAUGAUGCAAUCACUUAAGCUAGACUUGAAAAACUGUUUGCUUGGACAUGAUCAUACAUACCAUGUUAUUGGCAUUUCUCUCAUUUAUGAUGAUGACACUUAUUUUCCUCAUGCUAGACCUAUGCUUAAUGAAACAUCUCAUUCUCAUGCUAGUCUGGAGGUUAAUGAUUCACAUCAUCCUUAUGCUAGCAUGGAGCUUACUGAUUUAUACCAUCCUAAACAUGUGCUUUAUAGCUAUGCUUAUGUAAUUGGGUAUUCGAUUGGUGAUUUAGAGGGCAUCGACCCUGUCACUUGUAUUGUCUCUUUGGUGAGUUCUUUUUCAGGUUUUUGCAUGUGCACCAUUCAAUAUAUGCUGACCAGGUUCGAGGUGACAUUCCUUGGGACCCCGGUGGAUUCAGAGCAUGGUGAAGGGGGGAAGCAAUGGACACACGAAGAAGAGAGAAGCUGGAGCUUGCAAGUGGAAGCAAAAGGAGAAGAGCUGCAGUUCAAAGAGUGAUUGUGCGAGACCUACAUCAUAU
rnacentral:lncRNA from 1 species